rnacentral:rRNA from 1 species
UACGAAGGGGGCUAGCGUUGCUCGGAAUCACUGGGCGUAAAGGGUGCGUAGGCGGGUCUUUAAGUCAGGGGUGAAAUCCUGGAGCUCAACUCCAGAACUGCCUUUGAUACUGAGGAUCUUGAGUUCGGAAGAGGAGAGUGGAAUUCCCGGUGUAGCGGUGAAAUGCGCAGAUAUCGGGAAGAACACCCGUGGCGAAGGCGGCUCUCUGGGACGGUACUGACGCUGAGACGCGAAAGCGUGGGGAGCGAACAGG